rnacentral:rRNA from 1 species
CAGCAGCCGCGGUAAAUACGGAGGGGUGCAAGCGCUUAAUCGGAAAUUACUGGGCGUAAAGCGCACGCAGGCGGUCUGUCACGUCGGAUGUGAAAUCCCCGGGCUCAACCUGGGAACUGCAUCCGAAACUGGCAGGCUUGAGUCUCGUAGAGAGAGGUAGAAUCCCAGGUGUAGCGGUGAAAUGCGUAGAGAUCUGGAGGAAUACCGGUGGCGAAGGCGGCCUCCUGUACGAAGACUGACGCUCAGGUGCGAAAGCGUGGGGAGCACACAGGAUUAGAUACCCUGGUAGUACACGCCGUAAACGAUGUCUAUUUGGAGGUUGUGCCCUUGAGGCGUGGCUUCCGGAGCUAACGCGUUAAAUAGACCGCCUGGGGAGUACGGCCGCAAGGUUAAAACUCAAAUGAAUUGACGGGGGCCCGCACAAGCGGUGGAGCAUGUGGUUUAAUUCGAUGCAACGCGAAGAACCUUACCGGGUCUUGACAUCCACAGAACUUGCCAGAGAUGGCUUGGUGCCUUCGGGAACUGUGAGACAGGUGCUGCAUGGCUGUCGUCAGCUCGUGUUGUGAAAUGUUGGGUUAAGUCCCGCAACGAGCGCAACCCUUAUCCUUUGUUGCCAGCGGUUAGGCCGGGAACUCAAAGGAGACUGCCAGUGAUAAACUGGAGGAAGGUGGGGAUGACGUCAAGUCAUCAUGGCCCUUACGACCAGGGCUACACACGUGCUACAAUGGCGCAUACAAAGAGAAGCGACCUCGCGAGAGCAAGCGGACCUCAUAAAGUGCGUCGUAGUCCGGAUUGGAGUCUGCAACUCGACUCCAUGAAGUCGGAAUCGCUAGUAAUCGUGGAUCAGAAUGCCACGGUGAAUACGUUUCCGGGCCUCGUAC